AUGGUUGCAGGGAAAAGGGGGCUGGGGGGACUCACUGGGGAAACUUCUGGGUAAAAUUAUCCCGGUAAAAAUUUUAUCUGCUCCUUUGUCAAUCUGGGACGCUAACAUCCAUCUAAAAGGAGAUGCAGAUGAAUAUUGUCUUACCUGCAAUCGGUUUAUUAUCGUCUUCAUUAUCAUCAUCUGAAAGAGGCAAGUAUUUGUCUUCUUCCUCAUCUUCAUUCAUAGAGUCAAGAUCUCUACUGUAAUCAUCGUACAAUAAGGAAAGAACUUUUUUAGGGUCCACCACUACAUGAGGCAUUUUCUUUACUGAAGAAAUUUGGACACCAAAAUAGGUUCUAAAAGUGUGCUUUGAGUAAUUUGACACAGAGAUACCUUUAGGUCAGGCACACACAGGGUAGGCGAGGGGAAAAAUCUGGAUGAUAUGAUGUUUAUUUCUUGGAAUUCAUCUGUAAGCAUGUGGCAUUUAUAUCUGGGGUCUAUAUGAACCUACCAAUGAUUAGCAAUAGAAAUUUAAUUUGUGCGGUGAUUUUUGCAGAUAUUUGAAAAUUCAUUUCAUCCAUGAUGAGUCCACCACUAAAGUGUAAAAGUCAAGAAAUUUAAAAAUGUUGAGAUAAAUGGUUCUCGUUUCAGAAAGUGAAGCUUUGGCUGGUAUCUGUAUGGAUCCCAGGUUACAGGGUUAAAUAAAUAUGAUAAUUAUGAAGACAUUAAGAGACAUUAUUAGAAAUCAUGAUUGGGUCAGGAGAUGGAUGUUAAUAAAGCUGGGAGCUUUGGAAAAGUAUACUGCAAAGUGCCAUGGAGGAGUGCAUACCUAACGGGAUGGUUCACAGCUAAAAGAAAAUAAAACCAGGGGUGGAUGAAUAGGGUUUGAGAGUUGUAGUGGCAUAAGAACCAGGGGGUUAGCCGCCCCUUCAAAAAAAGAUACUGAGAAGGUAAGAAUAUGAACGUCGUUCACUAUCAGCAUGAAGUUUACUUCCUCCCCCCCCC